UUGUGAUUAUUGGAGGUGCAUUUGUCGUGGUAAUGAGUGUUGCCUGGCUUAGAGCUGGAACUGUAUUUGUGAAAGCAACAGUUGUGCUUGAUAGAGGUGCAGUUGUUAUUGGGAAUGCAGUUGUUGUUGCCACUGAAGGAGUGUUCUUGCUUGAUGUUGUUGGAUCAUUAGUUGUUUUAGAUGUGGUUGAUGAAGCUGUAGUUGCAGUCUCUGCUGUUGUACUUUCUGAAGUUGUAGGCAGUGUUGUUGAAGUAGUAGCUGUGGUCUCUGUACUCACAAGUGUGGUUGUUGGAAUUUCGCUAGUUGACAAUCCUUUAGUUGCUGAUGUUGUUACAGGUGCAGUUGUUUCUGAAGAUGUAGGCAUUGUUGAAGUAAGAGUUGUGGAUUCAGAAGUUACAGCUGUUGAUGUUGUUGGAUCAUGUGUUGCAGUAGAUGUGGUUGAUAAAGCUGUAGUCGUGGUUUCUGCUGUUGUACUUUCUGAAGUUGUAGGCAGUGUUGUUGAAGUAGUAGCUGUGGUCUCUGUACUCACAAGUGUGGUUGUUGGAAUUUCGCUAGUUGACAAUCCUUUAGUUGCUGAUGUUGUUACAGGUGCAGUUGUUUCUGAAGAUGUAGGUAUUGUUGUUGAAGUAAGAGUUGUGGAUUCUGAAGUUACAGCUGUUGAUGUUGCUGGAUUGUUUGUUUUUGUAGAUGUGGUUGAUGAAUCUUUAGUUGUGGUCUCUGCUGUUGUACUUUUUGAAGUUGUAGGAAUUGUUGUUGAAGUAAGUGUUAGGGAUUCUGAAGUUACUACUGUUGAUGUUGUUGGAUUGUUUGUUAUUGUAGAUGUGGUUGAUGAAGCUGUAGUGGUGGUUUCCACUGUUGUAAUUUCUAAAGUUGUAGGCAAUGUUGUUGAAGUAAUAGGUGUGGUCUCUGUACUUACAACUGUGGUUGUGGGAAUUUCUGUAGAUGAGGAAGCUUUAGUUACUGAUGUUGUUACAGGUGCAGUUGUAUCUGAAGAUGUAAGCAUAGUUGUUGAAGUAAGAGUUGUGGAUUCUGAAGUUACUGCUGCUGAUGUUGUUGGAUCAUUUGUUGUUGUAGAUGUGGUUGAUGAAGCUUUAGUUGUAGGCAGUGUUGUUGAAGUAAUGGGUGUGGUUUUGUUCCUCACAACUGUGGUGGUGGGGAUUUCAGUAGAUGAGGAAGCUGUAGUUACUGAUGUUGUCACAGGUGCAGUUGUUUCUGAAGAUGUAGGCAUAGUUGUUGAAGUAAGAGUUGUGGGUUCAGAAGUUACAGCUGUUGAUGUUGUUGGAUCGUUUUUUGUUGUAGAUGUGGUUGAUGAAGCUGCAGUUGUGGUCUCUGCUGUUGUUCUUUCUGAAGUUGUAGGCAGUGUUGUUGAAGUAAUAGUUGUGGUUUCAGUCCUCACAACUGUGGUGGUGGGAAUUUCAGUAGUUGAGGAUGCUGUAGUUACUGAUUUUGUUACAGGUGCGGUUGUUUCUGAAGAUGUAGGCAUUGUUGAUGUAAGAGUUGUGGAUUCUGAAGUUACAGCUGCUGAUGUCGUUGGAUCAUUUGUUGUUGUAGAUGUGGUUGAUGAAGCUGUAGUUGCGGUCUCUGCUGUUGUACUUUCUGAAGUUGUAGGCAGUGUUGUUGAAGUAAUGCGUGUGGUUUCGGUCCUCACAACUGUGUUGGUGGGAAUUUCAGUAGUUGAGGAUGCUGUAAUUACUGAUGUUGUUACAGGUGCAGUUGUUUCUGAAGAUGUAGGCAUUGUUGAAGUAAGAGUUGUCGAUUCUGAAGUUACAGCUGUUGAUGUUGUUGGAUCAUUUGUUGUUGUAGAUGUGGUUGAUGAAGCUGUAGUUGUGUUCUCUGCUGUUGUACUUUCUGAAGUUGUAGGCAGUGUUGUUGAAGUAAUAGUUGUGGUCUCUGUACUCACAUCUGUGGUUGUGGGAAUUUCAGCAGUUGAGUAUGCUGUAGUUACUGAUGUUGUUACAGGUGCGAUUGUUUCUGAAGAUGUAGGCAUUGUUGAUGUAAGAGUUGUGGAUUCUGAAGUUACAGCUGUUGAUGUUGCUGGAUUGUUUGUUGUUGUAGAUGUGGUUGAUGAAGCUGUAGUUGUGGUUUCUGCUGUUGUACUAUUUGAAGUUGUAGGCAUUGUUGUUGAAGCAAGUGUUGUGGAUUCUGAAGUUACUGCUAUUGAUGUUGUUGGAUCGUAUGUUGUUGUAGAUGUGGUUGAUGAAGCUGCAGCUGUGGUUUCUGCUGAUGUACUUUUUGAAGUUGUAGGCAUUGUUGUUGAAAUAAGAGUUGUGGAUUCUGAAGUUACUGCUGCUGAUGUUGUUGGAUCAUUUGUUGUUGUAGAUGUGGUUGAUGAAGCUGUAGUUGUAGGCAGUGUUGUUGAAGUAGUAGUUGUGGUCUCUGUACUCACAACUGUGGUUGUUGGAAUUUCACUAACUGACAAUCCUUUAGGUGCUGAUAUUUUUACAGAUGCAGUUGUUUCUGAAGAUGUAGGUAUUGUUGUUGAAGUAAGAGUUGUGGAUUCUGAAGUUACUGCUGUUGAUGUUGUUGGAUCGUAUGUUGUGGUUGAUGAAGCUAUAGUCGUGGUUUCUGCUGUUGUACUUUUUGAAGUUGUAGGCAUUGUUGUUGAAGCAAGUGUUGUGGGUUCUGAAGUUACUGCUAUUGAUGUUGUUGGAUCGUAUGUUGUGGUUGAUGAAGCUAUAGUCGUGGGUUCUGCUGUUGUACUUUUUGAAGUUGUAGGCGUUGUUGUUGAAGCAAGUGUUGUGGAUUCUGAAGUUACUGCUAUUGAUGUUGUUGGAUCGUAUGUUGUGGUUGAUGAAGCUAUAGUCGUGGUUUCUGCUGUUGUACUUUUUGAAGUUGUAGCCAUUGUUGUUGAAGCAAGUGUUGUGGAUUCUGAAGUUACUGCUGUUGAUGUUGUUGGAUCAUUUGUUGUCGUAGAUGUAGGUGACAAAGCUGUAGUUGUAGGCAGUGUUGUUGAAGUAGUAGUUGUGGUCUCUGUACUCACAACUGUGGUUGUUGGAAUUUCACUAAUUGACAAUCCUUUAGUUGUUGAUAUUGUUACAGGUACAGUUGUUUCUGAAGAUGUAGGUAUUGUUGUUGAAGUUAGAGUUGUGGAUUCUGAAGUUACAGCUGUUGAUGUUGUUGGAUCGUUUGUUGUUGUAGAUGUGGUUGAUGAAGCUAUAGUUGUGGUCUCUGCUGUUGUACUUUUUGAAGUUGUAGGCAGUGUUGUUGAAGUAAUGGCUGUUGUUUCGGUCUUCACAACUGUGGUGGUGGAAAUUUCAGUAGUUGAGGAUGCUGUAGUUGUUGAUGUUGUUACAGGUGCAGUUGUUUCUGAUGAUGUAGGCAUAGUUGUUGAAGUAAGAGUUGUGGAUUCUGAUGUUACAGCUGUUGAUGUUUUUGGAUCGUUUGUUGUAGAUGUAGUUAAUGAAGCUGUAGUUGUGGUUUCCACUGUUUUAACUGUAGCAGUGGAAUGUUCAGUUGUGGCUGUGGAUGCAGUAUUUGUUGUUUCAGCUGCUUUUGUCUUUUCUGAAGACGUAGUCAUGGUUGUUGAAGCAAGUCUUUCUUUAGUUAUAACCAUUGUUGCACCUGAAGAAUCUGAUGAGGUUGGAGCUGGUUUUGCUGAGGUUGAAAUGGCAAGUAUAGUUGUUCUUUCUGAAGCCGUAUAUCCUGAAGUUGAAGACUCCAUUUUUGAAGCACUGGAUUUUAAAAAGAAAAAUAUAAUAAAUUAUAUACCUUUUAAAUUAUUAUUAACUUAAAAAAAAAAAAACAUGUUUGUAUUAGAUUAAAAAAGUAAUGACUAGUGGUGGGCCGUUAUCGGCGUUAACAUGCUGCAUUAACGUGAGACUCUUAUCGGGCGAUAAAAAAAUAUCGCCGUUAAUCUAUACUCAAAGUUGGGUUGGGAGCUGGGUCUACUACACAAGCUAUGAUGAUUUCACCUUGAUGUUUUAGCGCGGAUGUAUAGGCUACCUAGCCGAAGUGCACUGUAGGGGGCGAGAACGAGUCUUCGAACCUGUGUGUAUGCCUACUGUAAAAUUAAUUACCACAUCAAACGUGACGUGCUAAUAUUGAUGCAGCUAUGAACCCGCCGGGUUUGUUUCAGGGGAAAAAAAAAAUAUUUUAAGAAGCUUCCCAAUGGAAACGUCGACAAGACUCACGCCUGGUUCACACUCUGUCUGCAGUGCGUAUGCAGUCCGUGUGUGUGGUGCAAAAGCAGCAUGGACUCAUUGUGCUUUCACACAGGAAGCGUUUGAACUCCGCUACUGAUCCGCGGCUGUUUAGUCCACAAACACAACAUUUGUUCAUUAUUUUAUAUUUCAAAUCAUGUAAAAAUAAAAAUAUUGUGACCCUUUUAUCA
ensembl:lncRNA